rnacentral:rRNA from 1 species
AAGGUGCUGCAUGGUUGUCGUCAGCUCGUGCCGUGAGGUGUCGGGUUAAGUCCCAUAACGAGCGCAACCCUUAUCGUUAGUUGCCAGCGGGUAAUGCCGGGAACUCUAGCGAAACUGCCGGUGUAAACCGAGAGGAAGUGGGGAUGACGUCAAAUCAGCACGGCCCUUAUGUCCAGGGCUACACACGUGUUACAAUGGCCGGUACAGAGGGCAGCUACCUGUUGACAGGAUGCGAAUCUCGAAAGCCGGUCUCAGUUCGGAUCGGAGUCUGCAACCCGACUCCGUGAAGCUGGAUUCGCUAGUAAUCGCGCAUCAGCCAUGGCGCGGUGAAUACGUUCCCGGGCCUU